rnacentral:rRNA from 1 species
GACGAACGCUGGCGGCGUGCUUAACACAUGCAAGUCGAGCGGUAAGGCCCUUUCGGGGGUACACGAGCGGCGAACGGGUGAGUAACACGUGGGUGACCUGCCCUUAGCUCUGGGAUAAGCCUGGGAAACUGGGUCUAAUACCGGAUAUGACCUCAUGACGCAUGUUGUGGGGUGGAAAGCCUUGUGCGGCUAGGGAUGGGCCCGCGGCCUAUCAGCUUGUUGGUGGGGUGAUGGCCACCAAGGCGACGACGGGUAGCCGGCCUGAGAGGGCGACCGGCCACACCGGGACUGAGACACGGCCCAGACUCCUACGGGAGGCAGCAGUGGGGAAUCUUGCGCAAUGGGCGAAAGCCUGACGCAGCGACGCCGCGUGAGGGAUGACGGCCUCGGUU